rnacentral:miRNA from 1 species
GGUGCGUGCGUGCGUGCGUGCGCGUGUGUGUGUGUGUGUGUGUGUGUGUGGUAACCCGGGUCACAGGCAUCCU